UAACUGCUGGCCCUCCAUCGCAACUCCCAAGGCCUCGCUCCCUACAAGUCCUGUGCACGCCAGGCGGGGUAUGGGGAGCAGUCUGCCCCUCGGCCUCUCUCUCUCCACUGGAACUUCUUGUCUUCCCAUCGCGACUCCUAUGACUGUUGGCUUCGUCCUCCUCGCCUGGUCUGCCACAAUGUCUCUCUGGGAUCCCACCCUAGUCCUCCUCCGUGUCACCGAGAAACCUCCAUGCCGAUCUGCCUUGCAGCUUUUUCUCUUUGUUCCAUACAAAGAAAAUAUAAAGCUGCAUCUUCUUAGAUCAUAAUCAGUGUGGCAAAAGAUUUUUGGCCUCAAGACAGGAUAUGACUUCACUGCAAAACCAGACAGAAGAGGGAGCUGAUGUAAUUAAAUAUGCUCUAUUAAAUAACAAACUGAAGGAUCUUCUGAUUUUCAGGUGUUGUGGAUACAGAAAGACAUUUUGUGUAACACAAGCUGUGAGACUUCAAUAUUUGCAAACCUGCUUGAACACCUGGUCAAUAUAUUAAUGUUAACAAACUAAAACUAAAUGUACAGUGCAAAAGGUCACAUAUCCAGGCUGAGUUUGUAAAUAUUUUAAAGCUCUCAUCAUGCAAAUAGAAGCCAUUUCUUCUAUCAGUCUUCUAAUGUUCCAAAAUGGAUCAAUAAAAUCAAUAUGCUAUAUAUCACACACUUCCUGUGUUAAAUUAAAAGACUGUAAUUGGCA